GUCUAUAGCUAUGCCAUCCUGAACAAGCCCAAUGUCUGAUCUCAGAAGCUAAGCAGGGUCGGGCCUGGUUAGUACUUGGAUGGGAGACCACCUAGGAAGACCAAGUGCUGUAGGCA
rnacentral:rRNA from 1 species